AUUGAACGCUGGCGGCAGGCCUAACACAUGCAAGUCGAGCGAGCGGCGGACGGGUGAGUAAUGUAGGGGGAUCUGCCCGAUAGAGGGGGAUAACUACUGGAAACGGUGGCUAAUACCGCAUACUAUCGGAUGAACCCAUAUGGGAUUAGAUAGUAGGUGGGGUAAAGGCUCACCUAGGCGACGAUGUCUAGCUGGUCUGAGAGGAUGAUCAGCCACACUGGGACGGAGACACGGCCCAGACUCCUACGGGAGGCAGCAGUGGGGAAUAUUGCGCAAUGGGCGAAAGCCUGAUGCAGCCAUGCCGCGUGUAUGAAGAAGGCCUUCGGGUUGUAAAGUACUGUCAUCGGGGAGGCGUUACCCGCAGAAGAAGCAACGGCUAACUCCGUGCCAGCAGCCGCGGUAAUUC
rnacentral:rRNA from 1 species